CAGAGGAAAAGCAGAACCGCCCCCAUGGGU
rnacentral:sRNA from 1 species